rnacentral:rRNA from 1 species
AUCCUACGGGAGGCAGCAGUGGGGAAUAUUGCACAAUGGGGGGAACCCUGAUGCAGCGACGCCGCGUGAGUGAAGAAGUAUUUCGGUAUGUAAAGCUCUAUCAGCAGGGAAGAAAAUGACGGUACCUGACUAAGAAGCCCCGGCUAACUACGUGCCAGCAGCCGCGGUAAUACGUAGGGGGCAAGCGUUAUCCGGAUUUACUGGGUGUAAAGGGAGCGUAGGCGGUUUAGCAAGUCAGAAGUGAAAGCCCGGGGCUCAACUCCGGGACUGCUUUUGAAACUGUUUUUCUUGAGUACUGGAGAGGC